rnacentral:lncRNA from 1 species
AUGAUCAUAUUAGGGCGUGACUUUCACGUUAUUUGAAAAAUUGGUCAAGCAAAAAAAUAGUAUGUCGUAGACAUACUUUUAAAAGGUUGAGUGUAUAAAAAGUUUUUCGUGAACGUAAGGUGUGUAACAUGUAUUUCGCUGCAAAGUCGAUGGUGCUUUAUUUUAAACUCAAGCGUAUGUGAAAACACGUGUCUGUUAAAAGCUAAAUAGUAAGAGAUGGGAAAUGAACUUUCAUUUCACCACGUUCAUUUUUCCAAAGCCAUUUCAAUAUUAACUUUCAUAAUAGGACCAAUUUGUCUUCUUAGGUGAAUGGCCUUUUGUCCUCUCAUUUCUCCAAAGUUGGCUACUUGUCUUUCCUAUUCUUCUUCUCCAAUUUCAGCCCUCCAAUUUGACACAUCAUUGAUGAUUCACGUCUUCCCGAUGAGACUUGAUCUUAUUUUUCUAAUUUUAGAUACCUAGACUCUAGGCAAUUUUUAGAGGGAAUUUUUAUAUGUAAUUAUUGGGUAAGUGAUUUUGAUCAAUUCCCAACUAUAUAACAUAAUUAUAUAUGAGAUUUAAUAUCAAAAUUAUGAGAAUCAAAUAAAAAUUCUAGAAAUAUUUUUCUAUGUUUUGAAAAUAAAAAUUUGGGAUUUGAAAAUUGAAUUGGACUCGAAUUUAAAAAUAAAAUACAUAUAUGGAUGAGAAUAUAGGUAGUCGCGAUUUACCUUUGGACGCGAGUUUUGACCGGGCAAGCCUGGGAUUGACUUUUGUUGAUUUUUGGGGAAUUGUAUAAAGAUCAUGGCUUUAUUAAUCGUAAUUGGUUUCUCUUGCAUUAUUUGAUGAUAUUAAGUCAUUUUUGGUUAGAUUUGAGUCACGCAUAGGCAAAUUUUAAAGGAAAAGCUAGUUUUGAGUGUUGAUUUGGCCUAGUUGAGAUAAAUAUCUUGUCUAACUUUACGUGGGGGAGACUACCCCUUAGGAUUUGGUUUGAUUGUACUGCUUGAAUUAUGUGGAAGACGUAUACACGAGAUGACGAGUGUGUACAUAGGCUUAUAUGUGAUAUUUGACCGGUUUAGAUUCUUAGGUUACUUAUAAGCAUUUAAUUGAAAUUAUUAUUAUUUAUUCUAUCUUUCGUUGUCAAUUUUAUUCGUACAUGCCUUAACUGAAGUUGUUAUUACAUGUUCUAGUUUUCCUUGUCAAAGUUACUCUUAUAUGUAUUUAUUUGUAGUUGUUAUUACAUGUUAUCCUCCUCAUUGUUGAGCUAUUCUCAUGCGUUUAGUCAUAGUUGCUAUCUCAUGUUAUUUCUUUCAUUGGUAAGCUCAUGUUACGUACUUGAAUUGGAAUUUGCCGUUUCACGGGAAUACCUUCAUUGUUGAGUUAUUGAGAUUCAAGUCCUGAUACAUCUUCGCGGCAUUCGGAUAAAUGAAAUAUCGUAAACUGUGAGCCUCCUCAAGAAUCAACUCUCAUAGCUCAUCUACGUUAGGCACACAAGUCCGGCCCUACGUCCUCAAUACUCAUAUCACGUCUCUCUCUUAUUAAAAUGGCUAUACUAUUUUAUUUUAAACACGUGUCUGUUAAAAGCUAAAUAGUAAGAGAUAGGAAAUAAACUUUCAUUUCUUCGCGUGCAUUUUUCCAAAGCCAUUUUAGUAUCAACUUUCAUAACAGGACCAAUUUGUCUUCUUACGUGAAUGACCUUUUGUUCUCUCAUUUCUCCAAAGGUUAGCUAUUUGUCUUUCAUAUUCUUCUUCUUCUCCAAUUUCAGCCCUCCAAUUUGACACAUCAUUGAUUCACGUCUUCCCGAUGAGACUUGAUCUCAUUUUAGAUAUCUAGAUCCGCUAUUUUGAGAAAGAAUUUUCACGUGUAAUUAUUGGGUAAGUGAUUUUGAUCAAUUUCUAACUAUAUUAUAUAUGAGAUUUUAUAUCAAAUUUAUGAGAAUCAAAGAGAAAUUCUGAAAAACAAAUUCUAUAUUUUAAAAAAUAAAAAUUUGAGAUUUGAAAAUUGAAUUGGACUCGGAUUUAAAAACAAGAGGGGGAGGGAGAGGGGGGGGCUAUAAAAAACUUGUAUUUAAGUGGGUUAAACUUAUGUUGUAAAAAUCCUACUCGGUACUCUCUCUCUCUUAAUAUAUAAAAUUGUAUUAUUAAUGUUUUAUCAAAUUAUGAACUGAUAUUACCCAUAAUACUUUUUUUUACUCUGUUCAUCUCUUCUCUCCAAAUUUUUAAAGAUUUGGAUCUUUUCUUAAUAUCUCUUUCUUUAACCGCACCCUAGCCACAGUUAAACACACUCAUUCUAACACCUUUUAUGAUAAUAUUUUGGGCUAUUUUUAACCGGUCUCUCCUAGGAAUUUACAGAUUAAUCCAUUAGAGUUAUUAAGAAAUUGGAAAGAUAAUUAUAUACUUAGAGUGAUAUUUUGAUUAUAUACAACUAAGAAAACAUAAAAUAAAGCUUAAGAUAUAUUGACAUAAUAUAAAGCUAUAAAUAAGUCGGGGUAAUGAACAGAAAUAGAAUUUAUAAAAACAGUAACUUACAUAUUUACAGGAGAGAGAUUUCCCUUUCGAUGAACCCGAAAGAGUAUUGAGGACUUUGAAUUAAAAUCUUGCACACUAGAACAUACGGAUUUAUUUAUUUUACAGACUAAAGAUAGGAACUAAUAUAGCAUACAUACAGAAAUAUUUUUACAGAGAAGGGUUGUGGAUGAUGAAUGGUUGAUGAAGGGAAGAGAGCGUGUUUUCCUUCUGAUUUUUUUUUUUACUCUGUUAAUCUCUACUUUUAAAUUUUUUAAAGAUCUGGAUCUUUUCUUAAUAUCUCUUUCUUUAACCUCACCCUGGCCACAAUUAAACACAUUUGCCCAUUCUAACACCUUUUAUGGUAAUAUUUUGGGCUAUUUUUUACCGGUCUCUCCUAGAAAUUUACAGGUUAAUCCAUUAGAUUUAUUAAGAAAUUGGAAAGAUAACCAUAUACUUAGAGUGAAUUUUUGAUUAUAUACAGCUAAGAAAGCAUAAAAUAAAGCUUAAGAUAUAUUGAUAUAAUAUAAAGCUAUAAAUAAGUUGGGGGUAAUGAACAAAAACUAAAUUUAUAAAAACAGUAAUUUAUAUAUUUACAGGAAAAAGAUUUCCCUUUCGGUGAACCCGUAAGAAUAUUGAGGACUUUGAAUUAAAAGCUUGCACACUGGAACAUACAUAUUUAUUUAUUUUAUAGACUAAAGAUAGGAACUACUAUAACAUACAUACAGAAAUAUUUUUACAGAGAGGGGUUGUGGAUGGUGAAUGGUUGAUGAAGGGAAGAGAGGGUGUUUUUAGGUGUUUUUCUUCUGAUUGCUCUCUUUUUCGUUGUUCCUCUUUCUUCAAUCUUCG